CCAUUUCAAGUGCAGACCUUUUCGGCAACGAUAAUAGAUCAGAUCUGGAUCUCUCUGCUAGUGAUCCGGAUCUCAUUCCAGGCACAACAGGACAUGUCCUCUCUGAAAAACAUUGCUGGAGAACUGGAACGAGACUUGGCUCAUUUGCGUCAACCUUAAUCUCUGAUUUUCAAGAUCGAAUUCUGUGAGCUUACGAGACCUAAUAAACUCAGGCAGAUGGGAACAUUUUGUAUGAAAUUCUUUCGGUGGAUGAAAAAUAAGAUUAGAACUCUUUAUGUAUGUGGCUUUCUUUAUCUUCGUUUAGUCCUUCAUGAGGUUCGUGUAGAGCGUUGUUCAACUUUGUACUAGGUUGCAUCUUGAGUUGUGAAAUCAUUGAAUUGUAAACUAGUGAUAGCUUUUGUUUCAACUCCUUUGCCUUUAUGCAUUCAGUAUUCAAAUUUCACCGGUCCAACUAGUUCGGACCCCCCGAGACCUACUCUAUCAAGAGUUUCUCCAUUACAGGACUUGAACCCGAGACAUCUGGUUGAUCGAGAGAUUCUGACAGGUUACUUCUUUUCCCUCGCGAUACAAAUUAACAUGCAUAAUUGGUGGAAGAAAGGUUUCAUCUUAUUAGUUUAGUAGCAUGGAAGUCACAGUACUUAUGGCAGAUUAAGCUAGAAGAUGACCAAUUUCGCCUUAUCAUAUUUGGUGUUGAGUAACCGUAGGACUUAGUAGGGGAGCCUUGGAGCAACUGGUAAAAUUGCUGUCGAGGGGCAAAUCGAGGGCCCAUUGGGAUUGGGCAUGGACGAGCCUCGACUGGGCCAGCAUUGAUGAAAAAAGAAAAAUUUCUCCCAUCGCAUCAACAAUUCAUUUCUUUAGGAAGGAGCUGCGAGGGUCCGAAAAAGAAAAAUUUCUCCCAUGGCAUCAACAAUUCAUUUCUUUAGGAAGGAACUGCAAGGGUUCGGACCAGGGUGAUUUCGCGAGUAAAUGGCCCGACAUUCAAGCAAUUAAUUAUUCUUUCUAUUGGAGAAUUCGAGACAGCAUUGAUCAGGAGGCCACAGGUUUAAGUUUUGGAAACAACCUCCGACAAAAAUGCAAGGUAAGGCUGUAUACAAUGUGUUCGGGCCUUUUCUCGGACUCCGCACAUAGCAAAAGCUUUAGUGCAUCGGACUAUUCUUUUUUAGUAAUGGUA